UUUUUUUGGUCGUUUGCAUAACUUUAAUAGGUAUAAAUUAAUUUUAAACUUGUCCCAGAGAACGUUCCAAAAAUGGAUUUCAGAUUUUGUUACCCAUUUUCAAUACAUUAUAAGUUAAAAAACUUCCAUUUAGUUAAAUAAUUGCGAUUUGGCAACACUACAGGUUCCGUUAAAUGCCGCCAUAUUGAUUUAGGCCUCAGUCUUGUUCCGACAUUAUUUGAGAAGGACGCGUCCAGUUUAAAAAGUGAAUCGCAUUCCGGCAUUUGUUACUGCUGUUUCAAGCGCAAGAAAAUGCCACUAACUCCGUCUGAAAAAAUGAAACGUUACAGAGAAAAGUUAAAAGAAAAUCCGGAUAAGAUGGAACAAAUAAGGAAGAAAAAUCUAGAAAGAAUAAAAUCAAAAUAUAAAUAUAAAAAAAUAUCGGAAAUGACCGAAACGGAAAAAAAAAUGCAACGAAAAAAGUGGAAAGAAGAAAAACAAAAACAAAAGGACA
rnacentral:misc_RNA from 1 species